rnacentral:misc_RNA from 1 species
UCCGGUUUGACACCGGCAGUCUCCCUAGAGUGCCCGGCUUUACCCGCUGGCAACUAAGGACAAGGGUUGCGCUCGUUGCGGGACUUAACCCAACAUCUCACGACACGAGCUGACGACAGCCGUGCAGCACCUGUCUCACGGUUCCCGAAGGCACAUCCGCAUCUCUGCAGACUUCCGUGGAUGUCAAGGCCAGGUAAGGUUCUUCGCGUUGCAUCGAAUUAAACCACAUACUCCACCGCUUGUGCGGGCCCCCGUCAAUUCCUUUGAGUUUUAGCCUUGCGGCCGUACUCCCCAGGCGGGGUGCUUAAUGCGUUAGCUUCGGCACGGAGGGAGUCGACACCCCCCACACCUAGUGACCAUCGUUUACGGCGUGGACUAC